rnacentral:rRNA from 1 species
GAUUCUGGCUCAGGAUGAACGCUAGCGACAGGCUUAACACAUGCAGGUCGAGGGGCAGCAUAAAAGUAGCAAUACUUGGUGGCGACCGGCGCACGGGUGAGUAACGCGUAUGCAACCUACCUAUCAGAGGGAAUAACCCGGCGAAAGUCGGACUAAUACCGCAUAAAACAGGGACACCGCAUGGCGAUAUUUGUUAAAGAAAUUCGCUGAUAGAUGGGCAUGCGUUCCAUUAGGUAGUUGGUGAGGUAACGGCUCACCAAGCCGACGAUGGAUAGGGGAACUGAGAGGUUGGUCCCCCACACUGGUACUGAGACACGGACCAGACUCCUACGGGAGGCAGCAGUGAGGAAUAUUGGUCAAUGGGCGAGAGCCUGAACCAGCCAAGUCGCGUGAAGGAAAGAAGGAUCUAUGGUUCGUAAACUUCUUUUGCAGGGGAAUAAAGUGCAGGACGUGUCCUGUUUUGUAUGUACCCUGAGAAUAAGGAUCGGCUAACUCCGUGCCAGCAGCUGC